GCCAGAUAUCUACAGUAUAUACAGUAUAUAGCAAGUAAGUGAUUUUCCUUCAGGUCCUAUUUUCCCCAUUAUUUCAUGUCCUCUCUAUACUUGACUGCUUGACAUCCAAAAUAUGAUAUGGUUUUCAUCCUGUGAAAAAUGAAUUCCUGUCUGAUUUAUUGUUGAGAAUAUGUUGAUGUGCCCAGAUUAUGAUCACGCUGUCUACACAAUUUCCAUAUAACCUUCCUGAUCUGAUGAUCCAUUCGAGGAAUGAAUUAGACACUGAAUUAAUUUGCUAUUGUUCUUUCCUCUCUAACUCACAGACACUGUUAUGAAGCCAAGGCCUCCCUAAAUUCAUUGGAAACAUCAUGAAAGUUUGGUCGUGUUGGAAACUGAUCUAUUUGGCCCUUUGGAGUUUAACAUCCCUAAUACAUCUGAAGCUCUGAUGGCGGGUUAAAGGAUGGACGCCUUGAAUGAUGGAGGACAGGAAAAACAGGGAUAACGUGUGGGAAUGACGGAUGGAGGACAGGCCAUUGGGGGCGGCAGUGGGAUCUGCCUUCAUCACUCUGGAUGAAGAAACAUGUAUUGGAGGACACUGUGGGCAGUUUUGUUGGUAAAGCUGAUGACGAUGUCCGACUUCAAAGCAAUUCUCUGGAAAGUCUGUUUUUCGGAGGUAUGUGAAGGCACUGAGUGGUUUGCAAGGGUUUCUGGGUUUUUCUUCCAGAGGAAAUGGCCAUACUGUGCUGGGAUGUGUCUUUCAGGUGGCUUGUAUGAGUGGCGGUGAGGCCUUCUCUACCUCUCCCAUGAGUAUUUUUCUGCUUGCAAGCCGAGAGGCCCCAACCCAGAAAACAUAUUAGACAGGCACGUCCCAAAAGUAUCCCCCCCCGCUUCUCUUCCUCUCUCUUUCAUUUCUAGCCUCUUUUACACCAUCGGUCUCUGUCUGUCUUCUCUCUUGAGAGUUAUUUAUACAAGGUGUGAUGUUACCCGAGCCACCCCGACACACUCCUUUAA
ensembl:lncRNA